rnacentral:rRNA from 1 species
GGCCAGAGACCGAUAGCGCACAAGUAGAGUGAUCGAAAGAUGAAAAGCACUUUGGAAAGAGAGUUAAACAGUACGUGAAAUUGUUGAAAGGGAAGCGCUUGCAACCAGACUUGCGUGCGGCCCGUCACCUGGUGCUCGCACCGGGGCACUGGGUCGCGCGCAGGCCAGCAUCGGUUUGGGUGGUUGGAGAAAGGCCGGGAGAACGUGGCUCCCUUGGGUAGUUACAGCUCCGGCGCCAUGCAGCCUACCCAGACCGAGGACCGCGCUUCGGCUAGGAUGCUGG